GAUGAACGCUGGCGGCGUGCUUAACACAUGCAAGUCGAACGGAAAGGCUCCUGCUUGCAGGGGUACUCGAGUGGCGAACGGGUGAUUAACACGUGGGUGAUCUGCCCUGCACUUCGGGAUAAGCCUGGGAAACUGGGUCUAAUACCGGAUAGGACGAUGGUUUGGAUGCCAUUGUGGAAAGUUUUUCGGUGUGGGAUGAGCUCGCGGCCUAUCAGCUUGUUGGUGGGGUAAUGGCCUACCAAGGCGUCGACGGGUAGCCGGCCUGAGAGGGUGUACGGCCACAUUGGGACUGAGAUACGGCCCAGACUCCUACGGGAGGCAGCAGUGGGGAAUAGUGCACAAUGGGCGCAAGCCUGAUGCAGCGACGCCGCGUGGGGGAUGACGGCCUUCGGGUUGUAAACUACUUUCGCUAGGGACGAAGCGCAAGUGACGGUACCUGGAGAAGAAGCACCGGCUAACUACGUG
rnacentral:rRNA from 1 species